rnacentral:rRNA from 1 species
GUGCCAGCCGCCGCGGUAAUACGGGGGGGGCAAGCGUUGUUCGGAAUUACUGGGCGUAAAGGGCGCGUAGGCUGCUCGUUAAGUCGGGUGUGAAAACUCUGGGCUCAACCCAGAGCCUGCAUUCGAAACUGACGAGCUAGAGUUCUGGAGGGGAAAGCGGAAUUCCUGUGUAGCGGUGAAAUGCGUAGAUAUCAGGAGGAACACCCGUGGCGAAGGCGGCUCUCUGGCCUGUAACUGACGCUGAGGCGCGAAAGCGUGGGGAGCAAACAGGAUUAGAUACCCUGGUAGUCC